CUCCUUGGAGGAAUUAAUUGGACAAGCUUUGCAAAGGAAGUGGACCAAGUAUGGAGCAAGGAAAGGAGAUAAUCUUGGGAUAAAGGAGCAUUAUGGAAUAGAUGCUAUUAUGUUAUGUUGUGAAAUGUAAUAGUGAACUUUAUGUUGAGAUUGUAAUAGAUUAUGAAUGAUUAUGUGAUGCAAAUUAUGUUUGUGCGACAUGCCCUCAUGCUCAAA